CGAGUAAUUGGAGUUUGUUUUGUUUUGUUUUUUUUUUUUUUUUUUUUGUAUAUGCUUCCUUGUGCUCCCUUUGAACCUUUCACAGGUCUGGUUCUUAGAGGAAGAGAAACUUCCAGUUGUCAGCAAUUCAGUGGAAGAAGAAAAGAAGCAUAAGAUUUUGAUGAAAUCCCCUUGGGAAAUACUUCAAUUGCCGGUUGGAUCUGGCGGAGUUUUCAGUUUGCUUUCAUCAAACAAUAUUCCAGAGAAUCUCAGUGAAAUGGGUGUGGAGUAUAUUGAGGUUAGAUAAAUUCAUUAUAGUCCAUUUCGUAGUUUGGGUAUUCUCAGAGCGCACUUAAGAAUAAGAUAGAAAAAUCUUUAAGAACUCACAUGUAUGAUUUUAUUUGUUUUAGUUCAGACAUGUUCCAUACGAUAAACAUGUAAAGUUUUCCAACGGGUCUUUCCUUGAUGGACUGAUGCUUCAUUUUCUUUUUAGUCUUAUGAAAGCACUUUUUAACGGUGCCAUGUCCCUUGCAUUAGCUUUCCCCAAUGCUAAUGCAUUUGUCAACCAGCUCAGCAUAUGCCAAUCUGUCUAGCAGAUUACAGUGUUAGUGUUUCACAUGCUGCAGUCAUAAGUACCUAUGCCAUGCAUAGGCUUUGUAUGAAUACUGCGCCUACUAGCAUCGUUGAUCAUUUCAUCCCUUGAGCACAUUUUCUCCUCCUUGAUUCAUUGCUUCUGCUCCCUCUUUCAGGUUUGCAGCACCAAUCCUGGACACGUAGGUGCGAACUCGCUACUUCUUGGUUUUGUUAAUUCGUGGAAAUCUGACUUCGGGAUCCAAAUUUUCAAAGGCAGAAAGGAGGACUACGAGAAAAGUUUUGACUUUAUAUUCUCAACAAACUUGAUGACGAUGUUGACGAAACAAAUUGAUAAACUCCAGUUCUAUGCUACUCCGAAGCAGAAUUCGCAUGUUGAGAUGGCGGGAAAAGAAUGGGUGGACGUUACCCCCAGCUCUCCCAACUCUUAUGAGUUCGGUUGUUCAAUUUACAGCGCUUUAAAGGCCUGUCCUUCCAACAAGAUUUGUAUAAUGGAGGUUACAGAGUAAACCUUGUAAUUUUGGGUACCCAAAAGAUAUGAACAGAUGUGUAUACCAGUCUUUUCAGUAUAUAUGGAUAAAUAUAUGUUAUUUUUGGACUACUGUACCAAAAAAAUAGUCAUUCAUAAAACCCUAGCAACCCCAAUGGCACAUACACAGCGGCUAGCUUGCUUUGCAAGUUACCAAAAAAUCCUAGGGAAGCUCUCUGUGAAACCCUAAGAGAGAGAAGGUGUGUUUAGGUUAAUGGUGGGAAGUUUACAGGUCGAGUUUCGAUAGAAUUUCAUCUAUUUUGCCACCAAAUACUAACAUGAAUUUACCCUCAACAGUGAAUCACGUAUUGAUCUUGUGCCAGUUUUUGAUAGCAAAGUGGAUGAAGUUUCAUCAAAUUUGACGGUGAGGUGAGAUUUUAAAUGGCUGAUUUCAAAUAGCUAAGAAGUCAAUUUACUAAAAAAAUAAUUUAAGGGGUCAAUUUCAAUUAGCUAUUACUCAAACAAGCAUGAAACGUUUGCUUGCGUAAAUAAUAAUUGAUAGGAUGGGUAAUGUUUGGGCCCUACAGAGCAAUAGGCUAGACCCAGUUUUAAAGCCCAGAUCUCUUAACCGGGGUUACGUUAAACCCAUUAGCCAAACAGACCAAAUUUUAGUCCACCCCCGAAAUCACAAAACCCUAGCAAGUAGCAACCCCAACCUCUCCCACUCUUCACUUAUAAAACCAACGGCCCCAGCUACAAUCCGCAGCUCGGCGGCUCAGCAAAAACCAUAUACACUGUAAGCCUCACUCUCUUCCGCCCAGAUCUCUUAACCGGGGGUUACGUUUGCUUUUGCUCCUCCACCCUCUUCGGUCUUCCCUUUCACACUGUCCAGCUCUAAGAUCUGCCCUCAGAUGGUGAGGUCAGUGUGGUACAGUUGAGCAGGUCCUCAACUGUCCUGACUGUCUUCAUUUUCUGAGGACGGAUAGCUAUUUUACUGUCCAGCUCUAAGAUCUGCCCUCAGAUGGUGAGGUCAGUGUGGUACAGUUGAGCAUGUCCUCAACUGUCCUGACUGUCUUCAUUUUCUGAGGACGGAUAGCUAUUUCGCCGCGUCUUACUUGCAUCUUUGCAAUGUGGUGAAUUACUGAUCGACUAUCUGAUCUUUUUUAGCAAUAAAAAUUUGGGUUUUUACCAUUUGAUUGGUUAAUUUGUGGGCCAUUUGAUUGGUUAAUUUGUGGGCAAUCUACGGAAUUUGCUUCAGUCUUGUUCACAAGUUUACUGGUUUGUUCGAAAAGGUUUUAAUUUCAAGCGAUAUGCAACAAGAAGUGAUGAUUUGCACCCAUCUAUUCUGCAAUUUGAAUGAUGAAUACUUACAUGCACUACCAUCUGAUCCUCGUUGCAUUUCCAUUUUCAUUUACCACUUUUAGUAAUUUGUUUUGUUUUCUUAAGAUUAUUAACUUUUUUUUUUCUGUUUGGAAGUAUUCCAAAAAAUAUUAUAAAAUAACAAAAUAACAAAUAAAAAACCAAAAAACCAAAAAGCAACAUAGAAAUUUAGAGCAGACAUUCUCAGCUAGAGGGGAAGGUUGGAGAUUAUAAUCACAUGAAGUCAGGAAGUGGUCAACAAAAUGAUAAGAAAACAAAACACAUGCAGGCCUUUCGGUUGCAGCGGCAAGACUGAGUCCAAUUUCGUACAGUGAUUACAUGCUACGAACAACUAUAUAUUGAAACACCAUGACACAUCAUGAAAAUAAUAAAGAAGAUUAUACAAAUUUGGAAGAGAAAAGCAAUACAUUGAGAAAUGGAGGAAGAUUUGUUCUUCUUCUGUUUGAGACUGGUCCUCUUCUAUCUAUAAAUGUGAAAAUAAAUCUGAGGGGGUUAGAGUGAGAUUCUUGAUGCACCUUGAAAUCCAUCAAAAUUCCUCUAUCAUUAAAAUCCUAACAAAUCUUUAGUAUUUUGACUACCCCUAGACUUGUACUGAUUUUUUUUUUAAAAUCAUAUUUAACUACCCAUGGAUUUUGUUGUAUUCUUUAAAAUCAUAACAAAUCUUAAUUUGACUACCCUAUGAUUUCAAAAUCCUUUAAAAUCAUCUUAUAAAAUUCUGAUUGACUACAUUUAGAUUUUGGGGUGUAGUCAAACUAGGAUUUUAAAGGAUUUUAAAAGUGAUAGAUUUGAUAAGAUUUAAGAGGAUUAAAGACUCUUACAAAAUUCAUAUGGAUUUUAAAGAAUUUGAAUGGAUUGUGGUGGAUUGUGGGGGGAAGGAUUUGAAAUCUUAGGGGAUGAGGUUGGAUUCUUUUUAGUUUUGGUUAUACAUACUUUUUGCUUUUAAAUCCCACAAAAUCCACAACUUAUUGAAAAUUUUCAAAAUCUUAAUUUUUUAAUACACUUAUAUUUGGAUGGAUUCUAAAAUCCUUUAAAAUAUUUUAAUUGACUACACCUAGAUUUUAAUGGAUUUGAAAAUCUUUUAAUUGACUACACCUAGAUUAGAUUUGAAUGGAUUCUAAAAUUCUUUAAAAUCUUUUAAUUGACUACACUAGGAUUUUAAAGUCUUUUAAAAUCAUCUCAAAUCCAAGUUUGACUACACCCCUAAGAUUUGAAAGGAUUUUAAAAGUGAUAGAUUUGAUAGGAUUUAAGAGGAUUAAAGACUCCUACAAAAUUCAUAUGGAUUUUAAAGAAUUUGAAAUCCUAGGGGGUGAGAUUUAAUUUUUUUUAGUUUUGGUUAUAUAUACUUUUUGCUUUCAAAUCCGACAAAAUCCAUAACUUAUUGAAAUCCUCCGAAAUCUUAAUUUUUUGAAUACACUUAGAUUUGGAUAGAUUCUAAAAUCUUUUAAUUGACUACACCUAGAUUUGAAUGGAUUCUAAAAUCCUUUAAAAUCUUUUAAUUGACUACACUAAGAUUUUAAAGUCUUUUAAAAUCCUCUCAAAUCCAAAUUUAACUACACCCCGCUAAAGUAUAUUAAAAUCCUACCAAAUCCUAAUUUGACUACACAACCUAAGUCUGCCCGUGACGCAAAUAUUUAACGUUAAUGACAUCCUAUGAUUAUUAAGUUAAAAAUCCCCAUCUUUCGACUGAGAUUGCAGUUUGAACAGUUAGUUCAUACAUUGUGAUUGCUCCGUUUGUCGGUUUGUGUGUAAUAUGGGGGGUCGUGUGUGUGAACAUGCAUUGGUGUGGUAUCGUUUUAGGAGUCGUUUGCCUAUGGUUUCUGAUGUCCAGUUUUAUUAUCUGUGGCUGGACAUUUCAUUUAACAGGACGUACAUUAAAGUUUACAGGUCUUUGCGACACAUUUAGCUUUGAUUCUCAACAGCUUUCUGUUACUUGAGCCCUGCAAGCAUUCACUUUUUCAUUUCCUUCUUGUAAAUUGCUCCGAAUGAUCAUUUUCAUAAAUUUUUGGUUUGACAGCCCAGCUGGAGAAGACCAAAGGGUAUUGAUUCUCGUGUUAGGAGAAAGUUCAAGGGACGUGUUCUCAUGCCCAAUAUUGGUUAUGGGUCAGACAAGAAGACUCGCCAUUAUCUUCCCAAUCAUUUCAAGAAGUUCGUUGUGAGCAACGUCAAAGAGCUUGAACUGCUGAUGAUGCACAACAGGUAAACCAAGGACCUUUGUUUUGCCUCUGUGAAUUCCGAUUUAGUUUUCGCACUACAUUUCUAACUUGCAUUGUCUUUCUCAAUUAGGACAAUGUUUCCACAAGGAAGAGGAAAGAAAUUGUUGAGAGAGCUUAAGCUAGAAAUGAAACUAAUCAUCCUAUUUAGAAUACUGUGCUGUACAUACGUCUUACUUCUUCAUAUUGGAGGGUUUCUUUGUCUUAAAAAGAAUCUCGAGUAACUGGAGUUUGAUUUUGUAAUUUUGUAUAUGCUUCCUUAUGCUUAGGGGUGAGCAAUGAUUAUGCGGGCGAGUAACCGCGAUUAAUUUACUCAUAACCGUUUAUACUCAUUCCCGCAUAACCGUUUAUCCGUUGGGUAAUUGCCUAAACGGUUAUACCCAUACCCAUAACCGUUUAUAAAUGGUUAACCAUACUCAUAGCCGCAUACCCAUUUAACCGUAAUCGUUUAAUACCCGUUUACCCAUUUAUCAUUUUUAACCCGUUUAUCUUCUUUGUUUUUACCAUUACCCUUUUUUCACCCGUCUACAUGUUUUUUAACAACUUAAAAAUUAAAAAAAAUUGUCAUAAUUUUUUUUUUACAAUUAAACACCGUUAUAGGUACAUUCAUCAUACAUUUCCAUAUUUUAAUUUUUUAAGUCCUUAUACUAUUCCAAUAAUUGAAAUAAUAGUUUACGGACGAUAUUUUUAAUUAUUACCAAUGAAGGUAAAUAUAAUAUUUUCUAAGUAUUAUUGGGUUACAAAAAUUGUUUAGAAGACAUUUCUGUCAAUUUCACGGUUACCCGCAAUAAAUUUAAAUUAAUUUGGCUAAUUCCUUGAUGAUGAGAAUCAUCAUUCAUGUAGUAGUGUUAUUGAGAGAAUGACCGAUGAAUUCCUUGUUAAUUUAUUGGAUGCUAAGUAUUAUUGGAUCAAGAACAUAUAUAAAAUGGGUAAACGGUUACCCGUUUAUAACCGUGGUUAAUACCCAUAAUCGUCCAUUUAAAUUUCGCGGGUAAACGGUUAUAGCCAUAACCGUUUAUUUAUCUAAACGGUUAUCCAUAACCGUAACCGUUUAAUUUAAAUAGACAGGUAACCGCGGUUACCCAUAACCAAUAGGUAUUUGCUCAUCCCUUAUGCUCCCUUUGAACCCUUUACAGGUCUGGUUCUUAGAGGAAGAGAAACUUCCAGUUGUCAGCAAUUUCAGUGGAAGAAGAGAAGAAGCAUAAGAUUUUGAUGAAAUCACCUUGGGAAAUACUUCAAUUGCCUGUUGGAUCUGGCG
rnacentral:lncRNA from 1 species